GUUUGAUCCUGGCUCAGGACGAACGCUGGCGGCAUGCCUAACACAUGCAAGUCGAACGGUUCUAGAAGCUGGAGACUAGAGGCUAGAAGCUAGAAAAGAAGAAAGAAAAUCGGAGAUUUUCCAACAAACAUCUAGCAUCCAGUUUCCAGCCUCUAGCUUCUAGGACAGUGGCGGACGGGUGAGUAACGCGUGGGUAACCUGCCCAUUAAUCUGGGAUAACUUCGGGAAACCGGAGCUAAUACCGGAUAAUCUCUUUAAUCCGCAUGGGUUGAAGAAGAAAGGUGGCCUCUCGAAGAAGCUAUCGUUAAUGGAUGGACCCGCGUCUGAUUAGCUAGUUGGUGAGGUAACAGCUCACCAAGGCGACGAUCAGUAGCCGGCCUGAGAGGGUGAACGGCCACACUGGGACUGAGACACGGCCCAGACUCCUACGGGAGGCAGCAGUGGGGAAUCUUCCGGCAAUUGGGCGCAACAGCCUGGACGAGAAAGCAAUUGCCGGCGUGGAGGGAAAGAAGGCCUUCGGGUUGUAAAACUUCUGUCCUAAGGGAAGAACGUAUUCUUUAUGGUGAAUAAUGUAAGGUAGUGACGGUACCUUGGGAGGAAGCCCCGGCUAACUACGUGCCAGCAGCCGCGGUAACACGUAGGGGGCAAGCGUUGUCCGGAAUUACUGGGCGUAAAGGGCGUGUAGGCGGAUAAUUAAGUCAGAUGUGAAACCUCUGGGCUCAACCCAGAGCAUGCAUCUGAUACUGGUGAUCUUGAGUGUAGAAGAGGAGAGUGGAAUUCCUAGUGUAGCGGUGAAAUGCGUAGAUAUUAGGAGGAACACCAGUGGCGAAGCGACUCUCUGGUCUACAACUGACGCUGAGGCGCGAAAGCGUGGGUAGCAAACAGGAUUAGAUACCCUGGUAGUCCACGCUGUAAACGAUGGGUACUAGGUGUUUGGGGGUUUCGACGCCCUCAGUGCCGGAGUAAACACAUUAAGUACCCCGCCUGGGGGAGUACGGUCGCAAGACUGAAACUCAAAGGAAUUGACGGGGGCCCGCACAAGCGGUGGAGCAUGGUGGUUUAAUUCGACGCAACGCGAAGAACCUUACCAAGGCUUGACAUCCCUCUGACGGACUUUAGUAGGUCCGUUCCUUCGGGACAGAAAGGAAGAACAGGGUGGGUGGCAUGUGUCGUCAGCUCGUGUCGUGAGAUGUUGGGUUAAGUCCCGCAACGAGCGCAACCCUUACUUCUAGUUGCUAACAUUAAGCUGAGCACUCUAGAGGGACUGCCGGUGACAAACCGGAGGAAGGUGGGGAUGACGUCAAAUCAUCAUGCCCCUUAUGUCUUGGGCUACACACGUGCUACAAUGGGCAGUACAGAGGGCUGCGAGACCGUGAGGUGGAGCAAAUCCCUUA
rnacentral:rRNA from 1 species